rnacentral:rRNA from 1 species
AACGAACGCUGGCGGCAUGCCUAACACAUGCAAGUCGAACGAGAUCUUCGGGUCUAGUGGCGCACGGGUGCGUAACGCGUGGGAAUCUGCCCUUUGGUUAGGAAUAACAGUUGGAAACGACUGCUAAUACCGGAUGAUGACGAAAGUCCAAAGAUUUAUCGCCAGAGGAUGAGCCCGCGUAGGAUUAGCUAGUUGGUGUGGUAAAGGCGCACCAAGGCGACGAUCCUUAGCUGGUCUGAGAGGAUGAUCAGCCACACUGGGACUGAGACACGGCCCAGACUCCUACGGGAGGCAGCAGUGGGGAAUAUUGGACAAUGGGCGAAAGCCUGAUCCAGCAAUGCCGCGUGAGUGAUGAGGGCCUUAGGGUUGUAAAGCUCUUUUACCCGGGAUGAUAAUGACAGUACCGGGAGAAUAAGCUCCGGCUAACUCCGUGCCAGCCGCCGCAGUAA